GAAGGAUCAUUACCGAGUGCGGGAACCCAGUCGGGUCCCAAUCUCCCACCCGUGUCUACCGUACCGUGUUGCUUCGGCGGGCCCGCCGCAAGGCCGCCGGGGGGGCGUCCCCCCGGCCCGUGCCCGCCGGAGACCCUGUGAACGCUGAUCUGUGAAGGCGUGUCGUCUGAGUCGCGUGAGAAAUCGUGAAAACUUUCAACAACGGAUCUCUUGGUUCCGGCAUCGAUGAAGAACGCAGCGAAAUGCGAUAAGUAAUGUGAAUUGCAGAAUUCCGUGAAUCAUCGAAUCUUUGAACGCACAUUGCGCCCUCUGGUAUUCCGGGGGGCAUGCCUGUCCGAGCGUCAUUGCUGCCCUCAAGCACGGCUUGUGUGUUGGGCCGCCGUCCCCGCCCUCCGCGGGGGGACGGGCCCGAAAGGCAGCGGCGGCGCCGCGUCCGGUCCUCGAGCGUAUGGGGCUCUGUCACCCGCUCUGCAGGCCCGGCCGGCGCCCGCCGAGUCAACCACUUCUUUCCAGGUUGACCUCGGAUCAGGUAGGGAUACCCGCUGAACUUA
rnacentral:rRNA from 1 species